UCAAUGGAGAAACAGUAUUGUAGAGGUACUGAAUUUAACUUUGUAAGAGAUUAAUAAAUCUCAAUUGUAAAUGGACAUAAUCAAUCUCAACACGUGAUAAACGUGAAAAUAUGUUACAUCAACUUAAGAUCUGAAUACAUCUCGAUACUCAAUAGAUAUACACUACUAUUGCAAUGAACACUAAUGAUGUUGCAAACUUGAUGCUCAAGUGAAAAACUUGAAUUGUAUAGAUCUCAAAUUAAAUGAGAUCUUGUAUCAAAUUGCAAGAUAAUUUAGUGAAGUGAACUAAUAUUUUGCGAGAGAAAAUCGAUCUCAACUUCAAUUAUUUUGUGAGAUUUUUUCCUCAAUCGCAAAUCAAUAUUGUUGUGCGAGAAAACGUAAUCUCAAUGGCAAUGCAUAACAUGUUAUAGGAAUUGCUAGAGAGCAAAUACAUUGAACAUGUCCCAUUUUCACAAAGUAUAUCUGAAAUCAUCAUUUACAUAUUGUAAAUGUGAUAUAAAGAGAUAUGAGAUCUUUCAAAGUAAAAUUUGCAGUAGAGAGAAAGCCUAAACUGCAACUUACAGUAAGCCGUAGGCUGAUUUGCAUCGUACAGAAUAAUCUAUGGACUAAUCCGCAAGACACGUCAAGCCAGAGGUCCCAACGGAAGAAAUGCAAGGGCUUAUCCGGACAUACAAUAAAGUUGGAAGACUAAAUUGAAGUGUCACAAAAGGAUAAGAUUCACUAUCUCUCUAUCUGUUCGUGUGGUUAAAACCCAAUCGAUUGAUUCGUAGCAAACCACCAACGCCGUCGCGGCCACUUGAGAUAAGCUUGCCGGCCGGAGGUCAUUGCCGCUUGUUGCCACGGCGGCGCGGAGGGCGCGAGUCCAGCAGCGCGGACGACCGCGUGGCGACGAGGGCGUGAGGCGCGGCCCUGCGCUAGUCGUCUUCGCCGACGCCGGCCGCUGGUGCGUCAAGGGCUCGAUGCCUCUGUGUUGUCGCAUGGCUGAGGGCAGCCGAUGCGUGCGCUGCAAUGACGAGGGCUACAGAUAGAUGGACGCCAAUGCCCUGUUCUUCAUUCACGAGGCGAGGUUGCCGCAUGGAAGCUCUUCUGCCGGGGUGAGGGCCGCCGUUUUCCACGCCCGAGGGCGUCGCCGCUACAGCCACCACGGCCGCUCAUGGUCCGCCCGCGCUGGAAGGUUGGAUGGCCUUGUCCUUGGCCGCUCCGGUGCCGCCACGCCCGAGAGCGUUGUCGUCAUAGACGACCGUGCUGACGAAGACCGUCGAUAUGGGCGCCGCCGUUGGCGGAGGGAGUCGCUGCAGAGGGUCGGAUGAGAGCCGUGGCCUUGGCCGCCGCCGCCGGGGAAGGGCUCUCCACGCUGGAAUCGCUCAGUCGGGAGCGUGCUGAUAAUGUGUGAUGAAUAGAAUUGUAUCGAGAGAGACAAAGGAACAAAUGACUCGAACCACACUUUAUUGACGAUGAAUGAGCACUUAUAUACAAUGGGAACAGUUGCCUCGGA